UGCGCCCCGCGGCCUUAGGGCCCUCGACCCACGCGCGCGUGCGGGGGGUGGGGCUGCGCAGGCGCACUGCGCCCGGCCUCCCACCUCACCUGCGGCGCCAAGGGGUUAAAGCGGCGCGGGGAGCCGCGGGCGGGAGGCCGCGGGCUGGUUCCCGGGCUCAUUCAUUCGCUAUUGAUCUGUUCUUCCUGCAGACAGCCUGGCGCUGCUGGGUACCGGGCGCCGUUCGGGGCGCCGCAGGUGCAGCGGUGAACGAAGCAAAGUUCCUGCCCUGUGUCAACAGGAGGAACACAGAGAGACUGGCAGAGACACAGGCAGAGGGAGAAGCAGGCUCCCUGCAGGGAAUCUGAUGUGGGACUCAACCCCAGGACCCUGGGAUCAGGACCUGAGCCGAAGACAGACACUCAACCACUGAGCUACCCAGGCUGCACCAGUAGCUCCGUGCAUAUCAUGAAAACACCAAAGAACCCGAGGAUCUAGAGCCUCUCCUCAGUGUCAUGAAGCCUAUACGGUGCACUUCUUUGGGACAGUUUGGGCAAUACACGGGACCCCGGGAUCACGCCCUGAGUGGAAGGCAGACGCUCAACCACUGAGCCACCCAGGCGCCCACACGCCAGCGUGUGCAUCCGUAGGCCUGGUCCUGCGAAGCAAGGAAACCCCCGUGCACCAGGCUGCCGGGAG